rnacentral:rRNA from 1 species
AANGNNNCCAACUNANGNGUUGGGAGCCGGGUUAAGAAGUUCGUAAAGGGCACCCAGAUGUUUUCGGCGGACGGGUGAGUAACACGUGGGUAACCUGCCUGUAAGACUGGGAUAACUCCGGGAAACCGGAGCUAAUACCGGAUAGUUCCUUGAACCGCAUGGUUCAAGGAUGAAAGACGGUUUCGGCUGUCACUUACAGAUGGACCCGCGGCGCAUUAGCUAGUUGGUGAGGUAACGGCUCACCAAGGCGACGAUGCGUAGCCGACCUGAGAGGGUGAUCGGCCACACUGGGACUGANGACACCGGCCCAAGACUCCUACGGGAGGCAGCAGUAGGGAAUCUUCCGCAAUGGACGAAAGUCUGACGGAGCAACGCCGCGUGAGUGAUGAAGGUUUUCGGAUCGUAAAGCUCUGUUGUUAGGGAAGAACAAGUGCAAGAGUAACUGCUUGCACCUUGACGGUACCUAACCAGAAAGCCACGGCUAACUACGUGCCAGCAGCCGCGGUAAUACGUAGGUGGCAAGCGUUGUCCGGAAUUAUUGGGCGUAAAGGGCUCGCAGGCGGUUUCUUAAGUCUGAUGUGAAAGCCCCCGGCUCAACCGGGGAGGGUCAUUGGAAACUGGGAAACUUGAGUGCAGAAGAGGAGAGUGGAAUUCCACGUGUAGCGGUGAAAUGCGUAGAGAUGUGGAGGAACACCAGUGGCGAAGGCGACUCUCUGGUCUGUAACUGACGCUGAGGAGCGAAAGCGUGGGGAGCGAACAGGAUUAGAUACCCUGGUAGUCCACGCCGUAAACGAUGAGUGCUAAGUGUUAGGGGGUUUCCGCCCCUUAGUGCUGCAGCUAACGCAUUAAGCACUCCGCCUGGGGGAGUACGGUCGCAAGACUGAAACUCAAAGGAAUUGACGGGGGCCCGCACAAGCGGUGGAGCAUGUGGUUUAAUUCGAAGCAACGCGAAGAACCUUACCAGGUCUUGACAUCCUCUGACAACCCUAGAGAUAGGGCUUUCCCUUCGGGGACAGAGUAACAGGUGGUGCAUGGUUGUCGUCAGCUCGUGUCGUGAGAUGUUGGGUUAAGUCCCGCAACGAGCGCAACCCUUGAUCCUUAGUUGCCAGCAUUCAGUUGGGGCACUCUAAGGUGACCUGCCCGGUGACAAAACCGGGAGAAAGNGNUGGGGAUGACGUCAAAUCAUCAUGCCCCUUAUGACCUGGGCUACACACGUGCUACAAUGGACAGAACAAAGGGCUGCGAGACCGCAAGGUUUAGCCAAUCCCACAAAUCUGUUCUCAGUUCGGAUCGCAGUCUGCAACUCGACUGCGUGAAGCUGGAAUCGCUAGUAAUCGCGGAUCAGCAUGCCGCGGUGAAUACGUUCCCGGGCCUUGUACACCCCGCCAAUCACACCAACAAAGUUACCCCUCGAGUUUGUUCCUGGGUCAACAAGUUGGACCAGGAACCAAUAGAGUA